rnacentral:rRNA from 1 species
UACGUAGGGGGCAAGCGUUGUCCGGAUUUAUUGGGCGUAAAGAGCGUGUAGGCGGCCACACAGGUCUGCUGUGAAAACUCGAGGCUCAACCUCGAGCUGUCGGUGGAAACCGUGUGGCUAGAGUCCGGAAGAGGAGAGUGGAAUUCCCGGUGUAGCGGUGAAAUGCGCAGAUAUCGGGGAAGAACACCCCGUGGCGAAGGCGGCUCUCUGGGACGGUACUGACGCUGAGACGCGAAAAGCGUGGGGGAGCGAACAGGG